AGAGUUUGAUCAUGGCUCAGAAUGAACGCUGGCGGCGUGCUUUACACAUGCAAGUCGAGCGAGGCGGCCCGCAAGGGCCAGUCGAGCGGCGAACGGGUGAGUAACGCGUGGAUUAUCUGCCCUGAGGUGUGGGAUAACCAGGGGAAACUCUGGCUAAUACCGCAUGAUACCGAGAGGUCAAAGGGGGCUCGCAAGGGCUCUCGCCAUAGGAGGAGUCCGCGUCCGAUUAGCUAGUUGGUAGGGUAAUGGCCUACCAAGGCGACGAUCGGUAGCCGGCCUGAGAGGGUGAUCGGCCACACUGGAACUGAGACACGGUCCAGACUCCUACGGGAGGCAGCAGUGGGGAAUUUUGCGCAAUGGGCUAACGCCUGACACAGCAACGCCGCGUGGAGGAUGAAGGUCCUUGGAUUGUAAACUCCUGUCAGCAGGGAAAAAGCGAAUCGGCCUAAUACGCCGGUGAGUUGAUUGUACCUGCAGAGGAAGCCCCGGCUAACUCUGUGCCAGCAGCCGCGGUAAUACAGAGGGGGCAAGCGUUAUUCGGAAUUAUUGGGCGUAAAGGGCGCGUAGGCGGCUUGGCAAGUGGAUGGUGAAAUCCCUCGGCUUAACCGAGGAACUGCCAUCCAGACUGCUUUGCUUGAGGCCGGGAGAGGUGAGUGGAAUUCCCAGUGUAGCGGUGAAAUGCGUAGAUAUUGGGAGGAACACCAGUGGCGAAGGCGGCUCACUGGACCGGUUCUGACGCUGAGGCGCGAAAGCGUGGGGAGCAAACGGGAUUAGAUACCCCGGUAGUCCACGCCGUAAACGAUGAGUGCUUGGUGUAGCGGGUAUCGACCCCUGCUGUGCCGAAGUCAACACAUUAAGCACUCCGCCU
rnacentral:rRNA from 1 species